rnacentral:lncRNA from 1 species
ACUUGGGUGGUAUAUUCUUUGUAGCUAUGACUUGAUUUGGUCGGUUUGUUGUGUAGUCUUAGCAUACUUGAAUCUGUUGAUUAUUACGUUUCCUUACCUGAUUGUGUGAUGUUUGGAGACUUGAAUAUACUCAUUGCUGCAUUGUCUAUGAUUAGAACCCAUGACUUGGAUUCUUUUCGUUGUUGCAUGAUCUAUGCUUUGAAUCUGGUCUAUGCUUUAAAGCUGUGGCUUUAAUUUGUGAAUUGUGACAUGAUUUUUAUUUGUAGUCUUAGCAUACUUGAAUCUGUUGAUUAUUACGUUUCCUUACCUGAUUGUGUGAUGUUUGGAGACUUGAAUAUACUCAUUGCUGCAUUGUCUAUGAUUAGAACCCAUGACUUGGAUUCUUUUCGUUGUUGCAUGAUCUAUGCUUUGAAUCUGGUCUAUGCUUUAAAGCUGUGGCUUUAAUUUGUGAAUUGUGACAUGAUUUUUAUUUACUUGAAUCUGUAUAUUGUGUGGUCUAAUGCUAAAUUGAAUAUAUUAGUUGCUUGUGUGGUCUAUGCUUUGAAACUAUGACUUGGCUUGGUUGUUUUGUUGUGUAAUCUUUGCAUACUUAAAUCUGUUUGGUUAUUACGUGCUUACCUGAUUGUGUGAUGUGUGAUUUAAUACUAACUCGAAUAUAUUGGUUGUUUGCGUGGUCUAUGCUUUGAUUCAAAAACCAUGCCAUUACUAACUAACCCACGGCUUGAAAUUUAUGUUGACUCGAAAAGAGAUUGUUAUUGGUUUUUCUACAGAGAUUCUCUUACUUACUUAGUGCUGCUUAGUAGUGGUUUGAUGUGUAAUCGUUCUUUUGU